rnacentral:rRNA from 1 species
UACGUAGGGGGCAAGCGUUGUCCGGAAUCAUUGGGCGUAAGGAGCGCGUAGGCGGCCCUGUAAGUCCGCUGUGAAAGUCAAGGGCUCAACCCUUGGAUGCCGGUGGAUACUGCAGGGCUAGAGUCCGGAAGAGGCGAGUGGAAUUCCUGGUGUAGCGGUGAAAUGCGCAGAUAUCAGGAGGAACACCGGUGGCGAAGGCGGCAUCCUGGACCGGCAUUGACGCUGAGGGAGCGAAAGCCAGGGGAGCGAACGGG